UCAGGUCAGGUCUGGUCUGGUCAGGUCUGGUCUGGUCAGGUCUGGUCAGGUCAGAUCAGGUCUGGUCAGGACAUUAUGCUGGUCAGGUCUGGUCAGGACAUUAUGCUGGUCUGGUCAGGGCAUUAUGCUGGUCUGGUCAGGUCUGGUCAGGUCUGGUCAGGUCUGGUCAGGACAUUAUGCUGGUCAGGUCUGGUCAGGACAUUAUGCUGGUCAGGUCUGUUCAGGACAUUAUGCUGGUCUGGUCUGGUCAGGACAUUAUGCUGGUCUGGUCAGGUCUGGUCAGGUUUGGUCAGGACAUUAUGCUGGUCAGGUCUGGUAAGGACAUUAUGCUGGUCAGGUCUGGUCAGGACAUUAUGCUGGUCUGGUCUGGUCAGGACAGGUCUGGUCAGGUUUGGUCAGGACAUUAUGCUGGUCUGGUCAGGUCAGGUCAGGUCUGGUCA